UAUAUUCUAAAAUUAAAAAUAUGUAAUUUAUCAUUUUGUUUUCGUAAUGUAUUUUCCUGUUGGUAUACAAACCAAAAGACGCACAGGAGUAUUUUACCUACCCGCCUCUCAACACAGGCCACCCCGCCUCCGCUCUCCUCCACCGUCGCGCCGCCCGUGCUUCUCCUCUCCUCCGUCGGCCCGCAUCCCCAUCGCGCCGCCGCCUCCUCUCUCUUGCUCUCUCUCCGCGCGAGCUCGCCACCGGCCGCCGUGGCGCCUGCAGGUCGCUGCGCCGUCGACCAUGCUUCCUCGCGCCCCCGCCUCCCCCCCUCUUGCUCUCUCCACGCGACCUCAUCACUGGCCGCCGUGGCCCUGCAGGUCGCCGCACCGUCAACCUCCCUUCCUUGCGCCACCCUCCUCCCCGCCUCAGAUUUGCGGCGGCAGGAUGCGGGCUUGGCGGCGGCGGCAGGCUUCGAUUUGCUUCGUCUGCUUUGAUCUGGUACCUCCAAAUGUCAGGAAUAAACUAUAAAGAACAACUAAAAAGUGCGAGGACUACUCUAUUUUUUUGUUUCGAACCAAAUGGAAUGUUGAUUUCGAUGCAUGCAAGUUGCAGAUUGCUAGUCUCAGGACUACUCUAUUUAGUGCAUAUGGAACGUUGAUUUCGAUGCAUGUGGAAUGUUCAAAUGUGGACUUAGAUGCUCACGCCACUGUUCACUGGAAUGUAUCUAUUCCUUCAUAAGGGAUUCUUCUGUCGUGAGACAUUAUGUUUGAAUCUACUGGCUGCUGGCAGAAAGAUCCAAACAACCGUUUAUGGUUUUGACAUUAUGGUAAACAUUACUCUAGCAGUAGUAGUUUGUACUUUCACCUUUUUUAUUAGGCUUGACAAAUUCUUUAUUUGUGCACCGACAAAAGCAUGCUGGUUUAUGUGCAGCUUGCCAUAGCUGUUUCUAUCCGUGAACAUCUUUAUGAGGUUAGAUAUACUGUCCCCUGCUAUUUGUUGUUUACAAAUUAAUGAAAAUUGCUUUGAUGUUUUUUUAUGAGUAAGGGCAUGCAAGUUUUUGUCUGUCAUUUAUAAGGUCGUUUGUUGGCCAACAUAUGAAUUUUGCAGAUUGCUAGUCGAAGUGUUUCUACUAUGAGAGAAUCUAAAGUUUCAAAGAAAAGGCGAGCACCAGAAUUUGCUUCAAAUAGUAAAGCCAUGAAUAAUGCAGUGGACAUGUUCAAGUAUUUCGGCAGCAAAUGAAGUCUCAUCCAGGACUAAGGCAGGGAUUUGUUGCAACUCAAGUGUUGGUUUUACUGAAUUGCUACCACAACGCUGAUAAGGUUUCUAGUCCAUGGCUCCAUGCAAGUUAUGAAAACUACAUAGUAAGGCCAAGUUGUCAAAGCUUCCUAGCUGAUUUAUUAGUUUCUUCUUUCAAGUUUAAAUACAUAUAGGUUGUCUUGAUCCUUCGACUUCCUGUACUGAGUGCUUAUGUACUGUACCGCUUCGAUGGCAUGAAAAAUAUUAGCCUUGAGCUUGAGCUUAUGUAUUGUGCUGGUUCGAUGUACAUGAAAAAUAUUAGCCAUGUGUAACCAUAGUUCUUUUUGUUUUGAUGUAAAUAUGGGCUGAAUUUGUA